AUUGAACGCUGGCGGCAGGCCUAACACAUGCAAGUCGAGCGGAUGAAGGGAGCUUGCUCCUGGAUUCAGCGGCGGACGGGUGAGUAAUGCCUAGGAAUCUGCCUGGUAGUGGGGGAUAACGUCCGGAAACGGGCGCUAAUACCGCAUACGUCCUGAGGGAGAAAGUGGGGGAUCUUCGGACCUCACGCUAUCAGAUGAGCCUAGGUCGGAUUAGCUAGUUGGUGGGGUAAAGGCCUACCAAGGCGACGAUCCGUAACUGGUCUGAGAGGAUGAUCAGUCACACUGGAACUGAGACACGGUCCAGACUCCUACAGGAGGCAGCAGUGGGGAAUAUUGGACAAUGGGCGAAAGCCUGAUCCAGCCAUGCCGCGUGUGUGAAGAAGGUCUUCGGAUUGUAAAGCACUUUAAGUUGGGAGAAAGGGCAGUAAGUUAAUACCUUGCUGUUUUGACGUUACCAACAGAAUAAGCACCGGCUAACUUCGUG
rnacentral:rRNA from 1 species